CCAGCAGCUGCGGUAAUUCCAGCUCCAAUAGCGAAUACUAAUUCUGCUGCAGUUAAAAAGCUCGUAGUUGAAGUUUUGGUAGGACAGAUCCGGUCUUGGGAUGAAUGUCUCAUGUUUACUGUGUGUCUUGUCUGGCCAUCUUUCAUUUUUUUAAAAAAAUGAUUUUUCACUGUAAAAAAAUUAGGGUGUUUCAAGCAAAAGUUAUUUGGAAUAUAUUAGUAUGGGAUGAUAAGAUAGGCUCUAGAUGCUAUUUUGUUGGUUUGCACAUUUAGAGAAUGAUUAACAGGGACAGUUGGGGGUAUUCAUAUUUACAUGUCAGAGGUGAAAUUCUUGGAUUUUGGAAAGAUGAACGACUGCGAAGGCAUUUACCAAGGAUGUUUUCAUUAAUCAAGAACGAAAGU
rnacentral:rRNA from 1 species